CAAAUACAUAAACAUGAAAUUUUCAUCAGUUCACACUCAUUACAGGGAGAAAAGGAAUCACAACUUUUUUCUAUUAUUAAAAAAACCCAAGCAUGAUAAUUAUAUAAGAUUAGCUAAUGUGGGUGUAAAUAUAUUUCAUGUUGGAAUAGUUCACAAGUACACAGAUGAUUAAAUCCUGACUUCCAAUAUAUUUGCAAGAUUUCCAUAUCUUACCACCUGGGUGUGAUUCAUAAUCAGAUAAAUAAAGGAUCUGUGUAUUUGGAAAGCCUUAAAAGAAGGAAAAAAUAUCUAUAUAAUUAUCCUCUGGUAAAGUAUACUUUGUUUCAACCUAGAGUUUUAAAUGCCAUUUGAAAGAACAAUUCUAGAAGAGUUCUAUCAGUCUAAUUCUCAUGUUACCUGAAAAUAUAAACAAGUUUAAAGUCAGUUUGACAGUUGAAUCUGAAAGUCUAGAUUGAAGUCAUGCUUUAGUCAUUAGCUAAGUGACUUAGGACCAAUAAAUUUUUAUUGAGUUUAGUUUCUUCAUCGAAUAUAUUGAGUGGAUUGGAUAAGAAGAUAUUCUAAAUCCCUCCUAACAUGAUGAAUCAUUCCUUCUAAGCUUCUCACUGCAGAUGUAAUUUGCCAUUAACACUAAUUUUUUAGCUUUCUUUUUUAAAACUCCUGUUUCCAAAUGACAAAAUAAUAAUAUUCUUAAAGAGCUAGAGAAUUAAGAGAGGUUAGCGUGCCCUUUCGCUGAAUUUCCUCAGUUGCGAUAUUUUUCUUUCAUACUGUUUUCCACCAUAACAAUAUCCCCUGAGGCUAGACUCAUAUACUUUUAGAAUAAAAGGAAAUUUCAUUAUCAAGUGGAACGAAUGAUUCAAUGCUCAAAUGUCCUCUCAAACACUUGCACCAAAUAUUCAGUUCCCUCUGUGCUUGAAAGAUAAAGAUUUAUUACCUCCCAAAGCUGCUACUUUUCCGGUUUGAACUAUACUGAUUAUUAGACAAUGCUUACUGUGAGUUGAAAUCUGUUUUCUGGUAGCUUCUCCUUCAUCUUAGCUAUACCUCUUUUUUUGUUGUUGUUUUUUAAUUAAGUUUUAGGGUACAUGUGCGCAACGUGCAGGUUAGUUACAUAUGUAUACAUGUGCCAUGUUGGUGUGCUACACCCAUCAACUUGUCAUUUAACAUUAGGUAUAUGUCCUAAUGCUAUCCCUUCCCCCUUCCCCCACCCCACAACAGGACCAGUGUGUGAUGUUCCCCUUCCUGUGUCCAUGUGUUCUCAUUGUUCAAUUCCCACCUAUGAGUGAGAACAUGCGGUGUUUGGUUUUUUGUCCUUGCGAUAGUUUGCUGAGAAUGAUGGUUUCCAGCUUCAUCCAUGUCCCUACAAAGGACAAGAACUCAUCAUUUUUUAUGGCUGCAUAGUAUUCCAUGGUGUAUAUGUGCCACAUUUUCUUAAUCCAGUCUAUCAUUGUUGGACAUUUGGGUUGGUUCCAAGUCUUUGCUAUUGUGAAUAGUGCCGCUACAAACAUAUGUGUGCAUGUGUCUUUAUAGCAGCAUGAUUUAUAAUCCUUUGGGUAUAUACCCAGUAAUGGGAUGGCUAGGUCAAAUGGUAUUUCUAGUUCAAGAUCCCUGAGGAAUUGCCACACUAACUCCUACAAUGGUUGAACUAGUUUACAGUCCCACCAACAGUGUAAAACUGUUCCUAUUUCUCCACAUCCUCUCCAGCACCUGUUGUUCCCUGAUUUUUUACUGAUCACCAUUCUAACUGGUGUGAGAUGGUAUCUCAUUCUGGUUUUGAUUUGCAUUUCUCUGAUGGCCAGUGAUGAUGAGCAUUUUUUCAUGUGUCAUUUGGCUGCAUAAAUGUCUUCUUUUGAGAAGUGUCUGUUCAUAUCCUUUGCCC
rnacentral:lncRNA from 1 species